UGGGGAAUUUUGGACAAUGGGGGAAACCCUGAUCCAGCCAUCACGCGUGUGCGAUGAAGGCCUUCGGGUUGUAAAGCACUUUUGGCAGGAAAGAAACGUCAUGGGUUAAUACCCCGUGAAACUGACGGUACCUGCAGAAUAAGCACCGGCUAACUACGUGCCAGCAGCCGCGGUAAUACGUAGGGUGCAAGCGUUAAUCGGAAUUACUGGGCGUAAAGCGUGCGCAGGCGGUUCGGAAAGAAAGAUGUGAAAUCCCAGAGCUCAACUUUGGAACUGCAUUUUUAACUACCGGGCUAGAGUGUGUCAGAGGGAGGUGGAAUUCCGCGUGUAGCAGUGAAAUGCGUAGAUAUGCGGAGGAACACCGAUGGCGAAGGCAGCCUCCUGGGAUAACACUGACGCUCAUGCACGAAAGCGUGGGGAGCAAACAGG
rnacentral:rRNA from 1 species